rnacentral:lncRNA from 1 species
GGGAGCGGGGCCGCAGCGCGCUCAGCUCCCGAGUCCUUUGCUCCACGCCUCCUGGGCGCAGAGGCGACGCUGGCAGCCGUCUCUUAGGAGAUUUCUCCGCAGUGUGGACGGGGGUCAGGAUUUGCAGGCGAGCAAGGGCAGAGAGGAGAAAUCGUACAGAAAAAUUUUUGGUUUGUUUUUGUAUUUACGCAUGGAGGAACUGAAGCUUGGCGAGAACAAGAGUGAAUUUUGGCCCAAGGUCACACAGAUGGAUGGGAGAAGAGAGAAAACAGAAAAGACAAUAGAAAAAGAAAAAAUGGGACAAGGUAUAUUUAUUAUACAAGUUCUCUCAUCCCUUACUUUCUUCUCUCCAUUUAUUUUUGAUACCACAAUCAUGAAUUUUCCUAUCCAAAUGGACUUCCAUAAUACUCUUUGAGGAAUGGCCUAAGAAUGCUACCUUCAAGCAGCCUGAUGACCACCGAACUUAGAAAUAUUUGGAGAAGUUGCAACAAAUUUUAUUUUGUCAAAGCUUACAUGAUUUCUCUUUGUGACAUUUUCUUCCCCGACAACCUAAAUGAAAUUGUAUAUUUCAAAGCUUUCAAGACAAAAUAAAAGUUUGAAAAUCCCUUGCAAGUUAGUACUGGUAAAUUCAUAGUUAUUUUAACUCUAUAAAGAAGUAAACAUCAUCACAUUCCUCAUGAAAAACUCCAGCAAGAGCCACUGGCACGGUUUGAAUAUAAACAACCAGCACUAAAUGACUUCAUCAAGCUACAAUCCCUGUGCUCAGCGAUUUAGAGGAAAUCAGCAGCUUAACCAAGGUUUAUUUUGUUUUUUUUUUUUUUCUUUUGCUGAGCAAUUGGGGGCCAAAAAUAAAACACUAUUACAUCAAACUGCAGACAAAUAAAAAUCUGAAUACAUUUGCUGUCUUCUCAGG